UACAGAGGUCCCAAGCGUUGUUCGGAUUCAUUGGGCGUGAAGGGUGCGUAGGCGGCGCGGUAAGUCGGGUGUGAAAUCUCGGAGCUUAACUCCGAAACUGCAUUCGAUACUGCCGUGCUUGAGGACUGGAGAGGAGACUGGAAUUUACGGUGUAGCGGUGAAAUGCGUAGAUAUCGUAAGGAAGACCAGUGGCGAAGGCGGGUCUCUGGACAGUUCCUGACGCUGAGGCACGAAGGCCAGGGGAGCAAACGGG
rnacentral:rRNA from 1 species